GACGUAGGGCGCGAGCGUUGUCCGGAUUUAUUGGGCGUAAAGAGCUCGUAGGCGGCUCGUUGCGUCGGCUGUGAAAACCCGCAGCUCAACUGUGGGCUUGCAGCUGAUACGGGCGGGCUAGAAUUCGGUAGGGGAGACUGGAAUUCCUGGUGUAGCGGUGAAAUGCGCAGAUAUCAGGAGGAACACCGGUGGCGAAGGCGGGGUCUCUGGGGCAGUAAUCACGCUGAGGAGCGAAAAGCGUGGGGGAGCGAACAGGAUUAGA
rnacentral:rRNA from 1 species